CACGCACACGAAAUUGCCCCGACACAGUUGAGAAUAACGACGAAGAUUGUUUUUACGCUGAAGUGGAAGAAGAAAAUAUUGCGUGUAACGCACCGGGCGUCUGUCAGCUAGCAGUAAAUGGAGGCCUAGGUCCAUGGUCACAGUGGAGAACGAGCGGAGAAUGUACAGCUUAUUGUGGAUCUGGGUUACAACCCAUGGAGAGAACCAGAGAAUGUAAUAACCCCACUCCGACUGCAGGCGGCGCUAACUGUGUUGGUGAUACAAUCGAAAUGACGAAUCAACCAUGCACAGCUACAAAUUUUCAGUGCAACUUCAUGUGUGCAAGAUUUCAGAACACGGUCAUAACCUCCCCAAGAAGAAACGGGCAGUAUUUACAAUGUGCAUAUGGAAACGUUAACUGGGUCGACUGUCAACCAACGAGUGUUUAUCAACAACAACUGAACACACUAAACACACAAUUUUCUUGGUUUAAUUUUAACUACAACGUUUGGUUACAACGUAACAAUUUACAGCUACGUCUACGAGUGUGCAGCAAUACUGGCAGUUUCAUCAGUGGAAUGCGAUUAUAAUUAAACAAGGGAGCGGUUGUUGAUUUAAUUUUUUUUAAAAAAACAACAUUUUAUGGGCAUUUUUUCGAUGUUUAUUGAGGAUAAAAAACACUCACUGACUAUAUCUGCUUCAAAGUGUAUUUUCAUACGUGUUGUUUUAUCUUGGAAAUUGCUAAAUAAAAUCAAGUUGAAUACAACCCCAUUCAUUAGUGUGAGAAGGAUUUUAGCUUUUGUGGGACUGUAUAU